AUAUCAAUAAGCGGAGGAAAAGAAACCAACCGGGAUUGCCUUAGUAACGGCGAGUGAAGCGGCAACAGCUCAAAUUUGAAAUCUGGCCCGCUCCGGGCCCGAGUUGUAAUUUGCAGAGGAUGUUUCGGGCGCGGUGGCGGUCUAAGUCCCUUGGAACGGGGCGUCAAAGAGGGUGAGAAUCCCGUAUGUGACCGGUGGCCUCGCCCAUGUGAAACUCCUUCGACGAGUCGAGUUGUUUGGGAAUGCAGCUCUAAAUGGGUGGUAAAUUUCAUCUAAAGCUAAAUAUUGGCCGGAGACCGAUAGCGCACAAGUAGAGUGAUCGAAAGAUGAAAAGCACUUUGGAAAGAGAGUCAAACAGUACGUGAAAUUGUUGAAAGGGAAGCGCUUGCCACCAGACCUGCCCGCGGGCGAUCAGCCGUCCUUCGGGGCGGUGCACGCGCCCGCGAUCAGGCCAGCAUCGGUUCGGGCGGCCGGAUAAAGGCCCAGGGAAUGUAGCUUCUUUCGGGGAGUGUUAUAGCCUCGGGUAUCAUGCGGCCCGCCGGGACCGAGGACCGCGCCUCGGCGAGGAUGCUGGCGUAAUGGUGGUCAGCGGCCCGUCUUGAAACACGGACCAAGGAGUCUAACAUCUAUGCGAGUGUUUGGGUGUCAAACCCGGACGCGGAAUGAAAGUGAACGGAGGUGGGACCCCGUACGGGCGCACCAUCGACCGAUCCAGAUGUCUUCGGAUGGAUUUGAGUACGAGCAUAGCUGUUGGGACCCGAAAGAUGGUGAACUAUGCCUGAAUAGGGUGAAGCCAGAGGAAACUCUGGUGGAGGCUCGCAGCGGUUCUGACGUGCAAAUCGAUCGUCAAAUUUGGGUAUAGGGGCGAAAGACUAAUCGAACCAUCUAGUAGCUGGUUCCAGCCGAAGUUUCCCUCAGGAUAGCAGUAACGUUUUCAGUUUUAUGAGGUAAAGCGAAUGAUUAGAGGCCUUGGGGAUGUAACAUCCUUAACCUAUUCUCAAACUUUAAAUAUGUAAGAAGUCCUUGUUGCUUAGUUGAACGUGGACAUUUGAAUGCACCGUUACUAGUGGGCCAUUUUUGGUAAGCAGAACUGGCGAUGCGGGAUGAACCGAACGNGAGGUUAAGGUGCCGGAAUGCACGCUCAUCAGACACCACAAAAGAUGUCAGUUCAUCUAGACAGCCGGACGGUGGCCAUGGAAGUCGGAACCCGCUAAGGAGUGUGUAACAACUCACCGGCCGAAUGAACUGGCUCUGAAAAUGGAUGGCGCUCAAGCGUGCUACCUAUACCUCGCCGCCAGGGCAGAAACGAUGCCCUGGCGAGUAGGCUGGCGUGGAGGUCCGUGACGAAGCCUUGGGGGUGACCCCGGGUCGAACGGCCUCUAGUGC
rnacentral:rRNA from 1 species